UGGCGAACGGGUGAGUAACACGUGAGUAACCUGCCCUUGACUCUGGGAUAAGCGCUGGAAACGGCGUCUAAUACCGGAUACGACCUGCCCCGGCAUCGGGUGCGGGUGGAAAGUUUUUCGGUCAAGGAUGGACUCGCGGCCUAUCAGGUAGUUGGUGAGGUAAUGGCUCACCAAGCCGACGACGGGUAGCCGGCCUGAGAGGGUGACCGGCCACACUGGGACUGAGACACGGCCCAGACUCCUACGGGAGGCAGCAGUGGGGAAUAUUGCACAAUGGGCGAAAGCCUGAUGCAGCAACGCCGCGUGGGGGAUGACGGCCUUCGGGUUGUAAACCUCUUUUAGUAGGGAAGAAGGGCUUCGGCUUGACGGUACCUGCAGAAAAAGCACCGGCUAACUACGUGCCAGCAGCCGCGGUAAUACGUAGGGUGCAAGCGUUGUCCGGAAUUAUUGGGCGUAAAGAGCUCGUAGGCGGUUUGUCGCGUCUGCUGUGAAAACCCGAGGCUCAACCUCGGGCCUGCAGUGGGUACGGGCAGACUAGAGUGCGGUAGGGGAGAAUGGAAUUCCUGGUGUAGCGGUGGAAUGCGCAGAUAUCAGGAGGAACACCGAUGGGCGAAGGCAGUUCUCUGGGCCGUUACUGACGCUGAGGAGCGAAAGCGUGGGGAGCGAACAGGAUUAGAUACCCUGGUAGUCCACGCCGUAAACGUUGGGAACUAGAUGUGGGGACCUUUCCACGGUCUCCGUGUCGCAGCUAACGCAUUAAGUUCCCCGCCUGGGGGAGUACGGCCGCAAGGCUAAAACUCAAAGGAAUUGACGGGGGGCCCGCACAAGCGGCGGGAGCAUGCCGGAUUAAUUUCGAUGCAACGCGAAGAACCUUACCAAGGCUUGACAUAUACCGGAAACUUCCAGAAAUGGUUGCCCCGCAAGGUCGGUAUACAGGUGGUGCAUGGUUGUCGUCAGCUCGUGUCGUGAGAUGUUGGGUUAAGUCCCGCAACGAGCGCAACCCUCGUUCUAUGUUGCCAGCACGUCAUGGUGGGAACUCAUAGGAGACUGCCGGGGUCAACUCGGAGGAAGGUGGGGAUGACGUCAAAUCAUCAUGCCCCUUAUGUCUUGGGCUUCACGCAUGCUACAAUGGCCGGUACAAAGGGCUGCGAUACCGUAAGGUGGAGCGAAUCCCAAAAAGCCGGUCUCAGUUCGGAUUGAGGUCUGCAACUCGACCUCAUGAAGUCGGAGUCGCUAGUAAUCGCAGAUCAGCAACGCUGCGGUGAAUACGUUCCCGGGCCUUGUACACACCGCCCGUCAAGUCAUGAAAGUCGGUAACACCCGAAGCCAGUGGCCUAACC
rnacentral:rRNA from 1 species